CAAUAGCGUAUAUUAAAGUUGUUGCGGCUAAAAGCUCGUAGUUGGAUUUCUGUCGAGAACGUCCGGUCCGCUUUUUGAGCGUGUAUCUGGUUCGGUCUUGGCAUCUUCCAGGGGAACGUUGCUGCGCUUGAUUGCGUGGUGCGGGUUUCUGGACUUUUACUUUGAGGAAAUUAGAGUGUUUACAGCAGGCAAACGCCGUGAAUAUGUUAGCAUGGAAUAAUAAUAUAGGACUCUCGGCCUAUUUUGUUGGUUUCUAGGACGAGGGUAAUGAUUAAUAGGGAUAAUUGGGGGCAUUCGUAUUAACUAGUCAGAGGUGAAAUUCUUGGAUUUAGUUACGACGAACUACUGCGAAAGCAUUUGCCAAGGAUGUUUUCAUUGAUCAAGAACGAAAGUGCGGGGAUCGAAGACGAUUAGAUACCAU
rnacentral:rRNA from 1 species